rnacentral:snRNA from 1 species
AUUUGUGAGAGUGGCAUCCAUUACCCCAUUUAUUGUCACUGUUGAUUUGGCUAAUCUGGAUAGCCAGGCAGCUGCCCCCUGCUUCCUUCACAGGGCCAUGAACAUCCUUCGUGAAGCUGUCUGCUUCCUCAUAAGGAAGAACAGUUUUCCAUCAAGCAUAGACUACACUCCCCUGCUAGGGCCUCCAAACAAACUCAUUCUGUUAAAGCAGGCACCAUGGUCUUUCAGCGGAUCUACUGUUCCUGUAAAUCUAGUU